rnacentral:rRNA from 1 species
GAUGAACGCUGGCGGCGUGCCUAAUACAUGCAAGUCGAGCGAACGGGCGAGAAGCUUGCUUCUCUGAUGUUAGCGGCGGACGGGUGAGUAACACGUGGAUAACCUACCUAUAAGACUGGGAUAACUUCGGGAAACCGGAGCUAAUACCGGAUAAUAUUUUGAACCGCAUGGUUCAAAAGUGAAAGACGGUCUUGCUGUCACUUAUAGAUGGAUCCGCGCUGCAUUAGCUAGUUGGUAAGGUAACGGCUUACCAAGGCAACGAUGCAUAGCCGACCUGAGAGGGUGAUCGGCCACACUGGAACUGAGACACGGUCCAGACUCCUACGGGAGGCAGCAGUAGGGAAUCUUCCGCAAUGGGCGAAGGCCUGACGGAGCAACGCCGCGUGAGUGAUGAAGGUCUUCGGAUCGUAAAACUCUGUUAUUAGGGAAGAACAUAUGUGUAAGUAACUGUGCACAUCUUGACGGUACCUAAUCAGAAAGCCACGGCUAACUACGUG